rnacentral:misc_RNA from 1 species
UUAAUUCUUCGUUUUAAAAGGUUGCUGAGAAACUUCAUAGAGUUCCCAAUAAAGACAUGCUAAACAAAAGUUGGAUUCAUUUUUAUCAGAAUUUCAAUUUUCAUUUCAUGUCAGUUUUAAGUAAAUGGCUAUUUUGGAUCAUUUUACCAAGUCCGCAUAAAUAUCCAUUUACAUAUCAACUCCAAAAAUGAUUUUUUCCACUUUUUCGUUAGUGAUUCGUAACAAAGGUAAGCUAGCAGCAUAUGCAAGUACAUGUGUUUGUGUCAUGAGUAGUUAAUUUAAUAAAUCAAGAUGCACAAGUGAAACAUUUGCUGUUCUGCUUCAUUCUCUUCAUUCUUGUCAAGAAGACUACAUAUUAUAGACUAUGUUCUGAGAAAUAAUGGUAAAAAGAGACUUCCCAUGAUAAAUUAGGCUGAAUUUCUUCAAACUCACCUGAAAGUAAUGCUAUGAUCAAAAUCAUACAAAAGAAACUUAUCAUGUGAAGCAGUAGAUGGUCUGGCCUAUCACUAGCUUCUUGUGAGUUCAUGUGUGUAAUACUACUGACCAAGUUCAAUCCCGUACUCAAUGAGGCCAAUUGACGGCUCUAUUCUCUGUUUAAUAUUCCAAAUAGAGAUUUGAUGGCAUUGAUUGCGUUCUCAUUGAUAAACGAUUCAUCAAACCUUUUUAGAAGAGGCUCAAAUUCUUCGGACGUUCUUAAACUGGCCAGGUCAGGGUCUGUCCGGAUUCUCUUGAAAUCUUCAAACCCUGCUAGCAUGGCUUCAAGGGCAUGGCAGACAGCCCAGCUUUUAUCUGUUAGGAGUUUCAGGCAAUAAGGAUUUCAGCAUCAAGUAGCUGUAGUUCAAAUUAAGGUUUUUUUGGGUAGGGGAUUAGGGGAGUGGGACUUAGAACUUAGAUCUGCCAAGUGAGUAAUAUGCCCUCAGCCAUUAGACCAAGCCAGCUAGGUGUAGUACAAAUUAACAUAUGAAGAAAAAUGCAGAUUCAAACAUGCACACACACAAACAGAAAAACCCAAAAAAGCAGUUAGUUCUAUACUUUAAACAUGCCAAGAGCAUUUACCUGAUUAAGCUUAGAAUAACAACAGGCAACAUUGUAACUUGCCACUGAAGCUUCAUUUGGGUCUGGUUUUGAUCCCAAUACAGAUUCAAAUUUCUCCAGUGCUUCCUCAUAUUUGGCAUUUCUACAUCAAUUAACCGAGAAGAAUAAAAAACAAGAUAAACGAAUAAGAUAUUGCUCUUUGAAGAACCAACUGAAUUUCCAUAUCCUAACAUGCUCAUGGCACAUGUGCAGCUAUAACACCCCGGUCCAAAUCUCCAAAUAGUGCCUUAAAUGGUUAAUCCAAAUUAUUUUAGUAGCUGAAGCUGAGGUUGUAUAAAUUUCCCAACGAUAUCUGACUUGCAUCCCACCGCUUGGAACGUUACAGCAGCAAAUGAAAUGAUGGUUCAUCUGGUCAUCCUAACUUGGACAUGAAAAAGAGAAAAGUGGAAUUGCCAGUGGAAGCAAGCCCUUACUUGUAUAGCAUCAGGCCUUCCCGAAGAUCCUUUUCUCUUUGUUGUUUCUGUUCUUUUUUCCUCAAGUAAUUUUGCAUCUGAAACCAAUUGGGAGUUGGAUACAUAGACAUUAACAUUAGGCAAAAGAUGCCACACACAUCCCAUGAAAUUAGAGGACAUAACAUAAUAUGCAAUUCAGCUUUACUCACUUGAAUUUCCCUCACUCUGUCACUAAUGACACCUGAGUUCCUCUCAGCUCUGAUGAUUUCCUUUUCUGUUAAUUCGCCUGCAUUAUCCGUCUUCCCGUAUCUCUUCUGCAUUUUCAUGAGCAGUGGACCAAUUCUUUGGCGGAUGGUAUACAUAGUCCUCCCAUAUUCAGCAGCUGGCCAUAUCUCUGUCCCAAACACAGCACUGCACAAGGUUUAGAACUCCAAAAGUCACAUUCUCAACCUAAAUUCUCAAUUCUUCCACAAGAUCAAUAAUAAUUUAGCCAAAGAAAAAGGUUAAUGCGAUUCACUUGCAACUACAAAAACCCAUAAAAGUAUGGACACAAAACCAGUAACAUGAAUAAGAUAUGAUUAAUAAACUGAGAAAAGCAAUUAGCUUUCCUUAAUCUCCUGAAUUACAUAUCUAUGCAAGUAAUCUUGUCACAUGAUUAUAUCAUCUAGGAUGGAAAAAAAAAAUUAAAGAAAGAAAAUUAACCUGGUGGCAAUAACUUUAUCGCCAACAGUGAACAACCCAGUCUUAUCAGCAUCUCCACCAGGUGCAAUAGCAUCAAUAUAAGUCCCACCAUCUCUGCCCUUUGUAAACCUGAGGCCAUAAGGCUGAACCAAUUCUACUUCAUACUCUUCAUACUCUUCUUCUCCUCCUUCUUCAUUCCCACUCUCUGGUUUAGAUGUCUUGGACUCAGUUUCCGAUGCUUUAACGAUCAAGUUCGAGGGUUUCAGCAAAUGGAUAUUGGAGAAAGACGUUGAAUUGCAGAAAAAUGAGUAAUUCUUGGAUAAAAAUGGAUUGGUUUGGGAGAAGAGAAGCGGGUUUUGCUUGGUGGUGUAGAUACAGAGAGUUCUUGGCAAUGGCGACGACGGGUAAAGAUAUAGAUAACUAGUUGGAGCCAACGACAUGCUGGCUGCUUUCUUCUUCUAUUUUAAGAACUUAGAAAUCAAGAAAUCAAGAAACCAGAACAGUAGAGGUUAGUUAAAACUUGCGGGAUGGAAGCUGUAAGUGUAACGAGAAGUAGAAGAGGCUUAGAGAGGAUUGCAAGGGCAUGAC